CCUCAGUGAACAUUCAACGCUGUCGGUGAGUUUGAGCUAAAUGGAAAAAAACCAUCGACCGUUGAUUGUACCCUGCGG
rnacentral:pre_miRNA from 8 species